AGUAUUUAACAAGUCUAAUAAGAAGCUUAGAGAUUAAUGGAAGGAUGACAUGGGAUGAGGAUAUGGAGGUAGAUAUUACCACAUCUGAGGUAGAAACCAAACUUGAACAU